UACGUAGGGGGCAAGCGUUGUCCGGAUUUAUUGGGCGUAAAGAGCGUGUAGGCGGCCAUACAGGUCAGCUGUGAAAACUCGAGGCUCAACCUCGAGACGUCGGUUGAAACCGUAUGGCUAGAGUCCGGAAGAGGAGAGUGGAAUUCCCGGUGUAGCGGUGAAAUGCGCAGAUAUCGGGAAGAACACCCGUGGCGAAGGCGGCUCACUGGCCCGGUACUGACGCUGAGGUGCGAAAGCGUGGGGAGCGAUCCGG
rnacentral:rRNA from 1 species